rnacentral:rRNA from 1 species
UACGAAGGGUGCAAGCGUUACUCGGAAUUACUGGGCGUAAAGCGUGCGUAGGUGGUUUGUUAAGUCUGAUGUGAAAGCCCUGGGCUCAACCUGGGAAUUGCAUUGGAUACUGGCAGGCUAGAGUGCGGUAGAGGGUAGUGGAAUUCCCGGUGUAGCAGUGAAAUGCGUAGAGAUCGGGAGGAACACCAGUGGCGAAGGCGACUACCUGGACCAGCACUGACACUGAGGAGCGAAAGCCAGGGGAGCAAACGGG